rnacentral:tRNA from 1 species
GGGCUUGUAGCUCAGUUGGUUAGAGCGACGGACUCAUAAUCCGCAGGUCGGGGGUUCAAGUCCCUCCUGGCCCACGA